rnacentral:lncRNA from 1 species
GGGUAGGACAGUUAAUUGUAUUUGCUUCCGAACGCAUUGCAUUAUUGGUUACUAGGGGAGGCUAGGGAUAACAAGCCGGUAAUUAAUAAUAGGCUCUUUUCACCAAGGGAUUGGGUUAAGGGUAAAUAAGAAAGUAUGCAUGGCAAUUAGAUAAAUAAGUGAAUUAAAUAAGAAGAGUAGAUAUAUGAGAGUGAAUAAGAUGAAAUUGUAAACCCCAACAACACCAUUCAUCCAUAGUUUCUCAAAACCAAUUGAAUCAACUGCAUUGCAUGUUUAUUUCUGUUCUUUGCAUAUAACCACCAAAUUCAUUCUUGUCUCAAGUCUUACAAUAUUUGUUUACAUGAAAGUUAAGGCCUAAGAGUCCUUUGGGAAAACGAUUCUCGGACUUACACGUUUAUAUUACUUGAUAACGAUCUGGUACACUUGCCAGGGACUUAACAAGUUUUUGGCGCCGUUGUUGGGGACUCGUGGUUUAACUUAUCUAGUAGUGUAAACUGAUUAACUUUGACUUGAUUGUAUAUAUCUUAUUUUUUUUAUCUUUUUAUUUUUAUUUCUUUUAUUUUUUCUAUAAAAUAUAAAAAAAGUGCUACUAGGGUUUGUGUUUCUUGUGCAUGCAGCAGGAGCCCUG